GGUCCUGUGGAUCCUCCCCUCAGGCUGGGGGGGGGUCCUUUGACAGUGGGUGGGCUUUGUUGUCCCACUUCCCACUUCCUGUAAACAAAAUAGAUACAC